GCCGGACGCGUCUCGCGCGCGCACCCGCCUGCCCCGGCUCUCAACGCUCUGAGCACAAGCUGAAAGCCCCGGAACGCGUCUGUGCCAUCCGCGAUGCGCUGGGCCGGCGCCUUUAAGAAGUCGCUGCAUGACGUUAUUUAUCCGCGACGCCCCCUCACCGUCGCUCCCCGCCCUCUCGCCCCCACCGCUGGAGGCGGCCAAUCAGAAGCCUCCUUCCUCCGCCCGCCUGGCUGCUGCGGGAGGUGCGGAAGGCUGAGAGUGACCGCUGCCGCGGUGGAGGGGUGUACGAACGGGCCAGGACUCGGUGGUUAACCCGCGGCCUCUGGAGCCGCGAGUUUGAAUCCUGGUUGCAGCUUUUCCACUUCCUAGCGGUGUGGCCAUGGGUAAGGUGCCCAUCCUCAGUUUCUCCGUCUGCAAAGUGAGAACGACUUUUUAGUGUUGUUGUGGACUCAGCGAGAUGACGCAUGCAAGCAAGGGCGCAAUCGCUGUAGCCUUCAUGAUUUAUGAGAGAAAAGGAGCUGCUCAGCGAGAGCUAGGAAAUGCUGAAGGAGUGCGCAGCAGGGAGGUAGAUGUUCAGAUUCAGACACCCAACCCUGUGAAGACCAAAGCUGUGACAGAAAAGAUCUCCGGGUCAGCUCAGCUGGCAGGGCAAUCCCCACAGCGUCUCAAGUUUCCCUGGAGGUUGCUCAGGGCACAUGGGAGUGUGGAAUGUAGCUACCAUUUUGUGAAAAUGCCAGGUACUCAAUAAGCCUCUAAAAAAUUAGCAAUUUUACGAGGACCAAGGACCAAAAGAAUAUGGUCAGCAUUCCAGACAAAACAGGAUGGGAUUUUCACUGAAGCAGCCCAUACUUUUCCUUUGACCAGCUCAAAGGCUCCAAUAAAGUCUUGGGUCUUUACUCUGAACCAGCCAAGGCUUUGGAGUCACUGGCAGGAAUCAGAGUAUCUGUUUUCAAGGCAGAAGAAUAGGUGGGGAGGGGAAUGCUGUGGAAGACGCACGCAUUUCCACUUCUUUCUAGAAAUGCAACUUAGUAUUCAUGGAUGCAAUGAUAAAAAUAUCUAGGAUUUGCUUCAAAACAAAACACAGGGUUGGGGAAGCAGAUGGGAGUGUAGAUAAAUCAAAAGUGGCCACAGUUGCUAAUUGUUAAAGCCACGUAAUGGGGAUGUGGAGAUUCAUUGUACUGUCUGUGUAUUUGUGUGGAUGUUGAAAAAAAAAUUUUUCUUUGAGACGGAGUCUUGCCCUGUUGCCCAGGCUGGAGUGCAGUGGCACGAUCUCUGCUCACUGCAACUUCUGCUUCCCGGGUUCAAGUGAUUCUCCUGCCUCAGCCCCCUAAGUAGCUGGGACUACAGGUGUGCACCACCAUACCCACUAAUUUUUGUAGAUUUAGUAGAGAUGGGCUUUCACCAUGCUGGCCAAGCUCGUCUCGAACUCCUGACCUUGUGAUCUGUCCACCUCAGCCUCCCAGAUUGCUGGGAUUACAGGCGUGAGCCACCACCCCCAGCCGAAAAAUAUAUUUAAAAAGGUAAGAAACACACGAGACAUGCAGCUUGGACUUAUCUUCUCCAUGAUACCUGCCCUGUAUCCCUGGGAGCAACUGACAUUCCUUUCCCCAAGCAGUUGCUGUACUUUGAACAUUGCUCCAGCAAGAAACUUACUGUAAUGGGUUUAUUGAUCCAUGUCACGUGCUAUAGUAAGUUUAUUGUGGUUCAGCAUGAACUCCAGGUGCCAAGCACAGUGCUUGGCGCAUAGUAGUGCCCACUGAAUGUUGGAUGGAGGGAGGGAUUUAAAAAAAAAAAAAAAGAAAAGAAAAGCAGCUGAACACCUGAUACUUAAUAAAUGUUUCCUGUACUGUGUUCUUUGUCUGUCCUUAGUUAAUUUGUGUUUGCCACUUUUCAGGUCAAAAACCAGGGAGAGUUCUCUACACAAUGUAGGUAUUAAUUGCUUGUUGUUCUAAUCUAUUCUUUAAAUAUCAGAGGUUCCAAAACAGAGAGCUCCAAUAACAGGAUCACUGUCAGGUAAACAAUUAUCCCAGAGUAGGAGGGCUGCCUUAGUUGAAGUAACUGGAGGUGAAUGGAGAUAAGUCAGGCAGGCUCUUCUGGGUAGAGGUGAACCUUCCCUGUUUUGACUGAAGGAGGAAAUGGAAUGACCAUCAAGAGAAAGGUGGUUGCUAGCUUGAGGGAAUCAUCUGUGCAAACAGGCCGCUAAUCAGCAGACUUUAUGUAUAGUUUUAAUACUGCCAACACUGUUUCUAAUAUUCCACACUAUUCCAUCGGCCUGGUGAACUCUUAUUCAUCCUUCAAAACCCAGGUUAAACAUGACUUUCAGGAAAUCUUCGACAGGCUUCCCAGGACAGAGUGUGUCAGCCCUCCGCAUGCUUCUGCUGCUGUGCUGUACUCACCACACUGCACUGUAAUUUACUGGCUUACAAGUCAGUUCCGCCGCUGGGUUGUGAGUUCCUCCAAGGCAGGACCUGCGCUGUAUCCACCUAUGUUCACAGGACUCACACAGUGCCUGGUGUGUAGUAGGUACCCCUUGAACGUUUUACAUAAUUAGAAGCAGCAUAUCAGGUAAAUGAGCAAAGCAAACUAUGGGAUGUAGGAUGUCAGACAAUAGGGAUUGGUGGACUUCUGGGAGCGGAAGAGCCUGUGUCCUCAGCUCUAGGUUAUUGCUCUGUGGGAUAAGGGCCCAGUGGUGUCAGAUCUAACAACUUUAAAAUAGAUUCUGAAAAUUCAGACUUACAUAUUGAAUAUUCUGGAUUUUCAACAUUAGCAAAUUAUUCCAUUUGGGUAAAAAAUGUAGCGUGGGUCUGCAGACAAGAUCUGGCUAUCAUUCGUUCAGAGGUAAUCAGAAAACCAUUAGUUUACUGAAAAUGUAUUUGACAAUCAAACGGAUGGUAGGUUGCCAAUAAAAUGUGUUGAGUGGAAUUCACGUACCCCAGAAAGCUCAUCCUUGUGCUGUGGGCAAGGAAGAGGGCCCAAGUAUGGGAGGAAGGGUUCAGGUGGCAGAGCCUACUCUCCCAGUGCUGUCGGAGCCACUCUUGCUUGAGGUGAAGUACUGUUUUGCAGUCUUUCUUGAUAUUGCUUAAACUGAGCCACCCUUGAUAUUGUGCCCAUCAGAAUGAUGGAUUAAAUGUUAUUGUUUCCAUACAUUCCAUUGGCAUCAGGUAUCAACUGUCAUUGUGAAACAUAUUACAAUGUAAGAGAUUUGAUAUUGUCCUAACAGUUUUAGUCUCUGGUGGCUAUACUGAGUUCCUCUGGUUUAGAGGUGAAACAGCCCAGAGAAAGGAUUUAUUUAUAUAUUUAUUUUUGGUCUGAAGACCAAAAAGAAUGUUUGCAAGAUAUUCAGACAUCAACAUCAUUCAAACAGUAUUCAUUCAACAACUGUUUUUAAAGCACCUGCUGUAUGAUACCUGCUAUAGAUACAGUGAUGGUGAAAGCAGACAUAAUUAUCUCUGUGGUAUUAUGGAAGCUUUUAUACUUUGUACUUUCCUCAACUUACAUUUUUUGUACUGAUCAUGCAUAACUUUUUUACAAUCAUUAAAAAAAAUGAAAGCAA